GACGAACGCUGGCGGCGUGCCUAAUACAUGCAAGUCGAACGCUGAAGAGAGGAGCUUGCUCUUCUUGGAUGAGUUGCGAACGGGUGAGUAACGCGUAGGUAACCUGCCUUGUAGCGGGGGAUAACUAUUGGAAACGAUAGCUAAUACCGCAUAACAAUGGAUGACACAUGUCGUUUAUUUGAAAGGGGCAAUUGCUCCACUACAAGAUGGACCUGCGUUGUAUUAGCUAGUAGGUGAGGUAAUGGCUCACCUAGGCGACGAUACAUAGCCGACCUGAGAGGGUGGUCGGCCACACUGGGACUGAGACACGGCCCAGACUCCUACGGGAGGCAGCAGUAGGGAAUCUUCGGCAAUGGGGGCAACCCUGACCGAGCAACGCCGCGUGAGUGAAGAAGGGUGUCGGAUCGUAAAGCUCUGUUGUAAGUCAAGAACGGGUGUGAGAGUGGAAAGUUCACACUGUGACGGUAGCUUACCAGAAAGGGACGGCUAACUACGUG
rnacentral:rRNA from 1 species